AGGAUACUUGGACGCUAUAGCUUCCUUGUGCUCAGCUACUGCAAAAGCUAGCCGUUAGUUGCAUUCUGGAUACUUGUAUUGGCUUCUCUCCAUUGUUUCUGCAACUGCAGGUGAUGGUAGCUAUCGCUAACAACUGGGCAAAGAAAGGAGGAUAUCCUACCCCAAGUGUUGAUUUUUGGUUACUUGUUUGUGUACUGUUGUCAGCAAGGCGGCUCAGUAGAAGUAUAUCGACGAGAGCUAGACUAUACUUUUAUAUGUGUAUUGAUUGCUACUUCAGUCAUACAAUGAUCCUAGGAAUUACAUUACUAAUGAACCACAAGAUCGAAAAGGUUUACCACAGCUUUGACACUAUUGUUGAUGAUCCUCAGAAUCACUUUCCUAUUGAUUUUUUGAAUUCAAUAACUCCAAAUGGACUCCCCCCGCACGAGCUUAAGCUGAAAAUCAAUUGUCGUGUGAUUCUUCUCCGCAAUCUUGAUCCGAACAAUGGCUUGUGCAAUGGAACAAGGCUCAUGGUUAGAGCAUUGCAAGACAAUGCAAUUGAUGCUGAGAUCGUUGCUGGACAACAUGCACGGAAAAGGGUGUUCAUACCAAGGCUUCCAUUGUCUCCCUCAGAUGAUAUUUCUCUUCCUUUCAAGUUCAAGAGAAAACAAUUUCCAGUGCGCUUGAGUUUUGCCAUGACGAUAAAUAAAUCACAGGGACAAACCAUCCCUAAUGUUGGGAUCUACCUUCCGGAACCCGUGUUCUCGCAUGGACAACUCUAUGUUUGUUUAUCAAGGGGGGUGUCAAGAGCAACAACAAGAAUUUUGGCAAAAUCAAAAGAGGAUUUGGAUCCUACAGGGAAGAGCACUAAGAAUAUAGUUUACAAAGACGUCCUAAAUUGGUGACUAACGAUGUGUGUACUCAACCCAUUUUAUCAAUCCUCAUGUAAAAUUAUAUUGUUGGUUGUGUGCUUGAUAUUUUAAUUUUGUAGCAUCAGAGUCCUAUUUGUCUCCUAUAUAAUGUUUGGGUUCCAAACUUUCAGGUUCAUCUGACUGUUCUGGGAGCGUAUGUGAAGAAAUGGAAGAAAUGGCAUGUUCUUGUAGCACAUCUGACAACAGUCAGGUCGACAGUAAUGGAACAUGGCUGAUAGCCAGCGAGGAGGGAGUGUGAACUUCAGAAAUUUGUAUCAGUCUUGGACCUAAGGCCAGGGUAGUACAACCUGAAGGUGUGCUUAGGGAAAGGUUGAAUUCUGUAACUGAAAUCUGUUAUCUGAAUCAAUACACUGACUGAAAAAUUCAGCGUAAAUAAAACGGGUUGCAUUUGCAAAGCAGCAUGAUGUUAUGCUCCAGCCGUUAGUAUUGUAAUUUUGGCCCUCAUGCUAUUGGCAAUACAAAUUCCCAUAUUUUCAUUCUACAAGUUCCCUCAUGCUCGUAUUGUUUUUUUAUUCCCAGGCUUCAAGUUCCCGCUAAUAGAAUGGAAUACAUGCUUAAAAAUAUAAUUAUGUAAAAAUUGAAGUAUGCAAAAAAUCAUUGUUUGGUUAUUUUCAUGUGCCAAGGUAAAGCCGUGGCGUUAGCACGGGCAUUAUACUAGUACUUUUAUAUGUGUAUUGAUUGCUACUUCAGUCAUACAAUGAUCCUAGGAAUUACAUUACUAAUGAACCACAAGAUCGUCAGAGCAGCACAUAAUGAACCAGCC
rnacentral:lncRNA from 1 species